CCUACGGGUGGCAGCAGUGAGGAAUAUUGGUCAAUGGGCGCGAGCCUGAACCAGCCAAGUCGCGUGAGGGAAGACGGUCCUAUGGAUUGUAAACCUCUUUUGUCGGGGAGCAAAAGACGCCACGCGUGGCGUUCCGAGAGUACCCGAAGAAAAAGCAUCGGCUAACUCCGUGCCAGCAGCCGCGGUAAUACGGAGGAUGCGAGCGUUAUCCGGAUUUAUUGGGUUGAAAGGGUGCGCAGGCGGAAGGUCAAGUCAGCGGUAAAAUUGAGGGGCUCAACCUCUUCGAGCCGUUGAAACUGGUUGUCUUGAGUGAGCGAGAAGUAUGCGGAAUGCGUGGUGUAGCGGUGAAAUGCAUAGAUAUCACGCAGAACUCCGAUUGCGAAGGCAGCAUACCGGCGCUCAACUGACGCUCAGGCACGAAAGUGUGGGUAUCGAACAGGAUUAGAUACCCGAGUAGUC
rnacentral:rRNA from 1 species